AGUGAACGCUGGCGGUAGGCCUAACACAUGCAAGUCGAACGGCAGCACAGUAAGAGCUUGCUCUUACGGGUGGCGAGUGGCGGACGGGUGAGGAAUACAUCGGAAUCUACUUUUUCGUGGGGGAUAACGUAGGGAAACUUACGCUAAUACCGCAUACGACCUACGGGUGAAAGCAGGGGAUCUUCGUACCUUGCGCGAUUGAAUGAGCCGAUGUCGGAUUAGCUAGUUGGCGGGGUAAAGGCCCACCAAGGCGACGAUCCGUAGCUGGUCUGAGAGGAUGAUCAGCCACACUGGAACUGAGACAAGGUCCAGACUCCUACGGGAGGAAGCAGUGGGGAAUAUUGGACAAUGGGCGCAAGCCUGAUCCAGCCAUACCGCGUGGGUGAAGAAGGCCUUCGGGUUGUAAAGCCCUUUUGUUGGGAAAGAAAAGCAGCAGGUUAAUACCCCGCUGUUCUGACGGUACCCAAAGAAUAAGCACCGGCUAACUUCGUG
rnacentral:rRNA from 1 species